rnacentral:rRNA from 1 species
GAUGAACGCUGGCGGCGCGCUUAACACAUGCAAGUCGAGCGAGAAGUUUUGAAAAGAUUCUUCGGAUGAAAUUUAAAAUGGAAAGCGGCGGACGGGUGAGUAACGCGUAGGCAACCUGCCCCAUACAAAGGGAUAGCAUUUGGAAACGAAUAUUAAUACCUUAUGAAACUUAACUAGUGCAUGCUAGGUAGGUCAAAGAUUUAUCGGUAUGGGAUGGGCCUGCGUCUGAUUAGCUAGUUGGUGAGGUAACGGCUCACCAAGGCGACGAUCAGUAGCCGACCUGAGAGGGUGAACGGCCACAUUGGAACUGAGACACGGUCCAAACUCCUACGGGAGGCAGCAGUGGGGAAUAUUGCACAAUGGGGGAAACCCUGAUGCAGCAACGCCGCGUGAACGAUGAAGGCCUUUGGGUCGUAAAGUUCUGUUCUAGGUGAUGAAAACUGACAGUAACCGAGGAGAAAGCCCCGGCUAACUCCGUG